rnacentral:rRNA from 1 species
CUUCAUGUCUGGAAUAUACGCCAAAGGGGUACUAAUACCGGAUAUUCUUGACUUUUUCAUAAGUUAUAGCAAGCAAAGGUGGCCUCUGCAUAUGCUACUGCAUGAAGAGGGGUCUGCGUACCCAGUUUAGCUAGUAGGUGGGGGUAAUGGCCUACCUAGGCGACGAUGGUUAGCGGGUCUGAGAGGAUGAUCCGCCACACUGGCACUGGAACACGGGCCAGACUCCUACGGGAGGCAGCAGUGAGGAAUAUUGCGCAAUGGGGGAAACCCUGACGCAGCGACGCCGCGUGAGUGAGGAAGGCCUUCGGGUCGUAAAGCUCUGUCAAGAGGAAAGAAGUGUACAAUGGCUAAUACCUGUUGUAUUUGACGGUACCUCUAAAGGAAGCACCGGCUAACUCCGUGCCAGCCGCGGC